CCUACGGGGGGCAGCAGUAGGGAAUCUUCCACAAUGGGCGAAAGCCUGAUGGAGCAACGCCGCGUGGGUGAAGAAGGUCUUCGGAUCGUAAAACCCUGUUGUUAGAGAAGAAAGUGCGUGAGAGUAACUGUUCACGUUUCGACGGUAUCUAACCAGAAAGCCACGGCUAACUACGUGCCAGCAGCCGCGGUAAUACGUAGGUGGCAAGCGUUAUCCGGAUUUAUUGGGCGUAAAGGGAACGCAGGCGGUCUUUUAAGUCUGAUGUGAAAGCCUUCGGCUUAACCGGAGUAGUGCAUUGGAAACUGGGAGACUGGAGUGCAGAAGAGGAGAGUGGAACUCCAUGUGGAGCGGUGAAAUGCGUAGAUAUAUGGAAGAACACCAGUGGCGAAAGCGGCUCUCUGGUCUGUAACUGACGCUGAGGUUCGAAAGCGUGGGUAGCAAACAGGAUUAGAUACCCUAGUAGUC
rnacentral:rRNA from 1 species